AGCCAAACUAUCCAUAUCACCAGGGGAGGUGGUAUUCUUGUGUUUAAGCAGUAGUAACUCCCCUCCCUUCCCCUCCCUUCCGCUCUCUUCCCCUCCCCUCCCCUCCUCUCCUCUCUCUUUUCACGGGACUGGGCUGAUUUGAGGAGUCUUCUAAUUCUCCUCUCCCUGGUCUCAAGCAGCCCCUGGUCUUUGGUGUCUGUCCCCACUGUGGUCUCGGGUACAGGCAGGGGUACCCAGCACUUUGGUGUCUGCCCCCACUGUGGUCUGGGGUACAGACGAGGGUGAAGUGUAGCCACUCCCGGUCAACUCCAGUUCCUGAACAAAUGUUAUUUCUAUUCCAUUUAUGUUCCAGGCAGAGGAAAUGUAGAAGCACUUAGACAAACAUGUGCAAUCUUCAAGAGAGUUCCCUUGACAUUUUGCUGACUUUUACAACUGUGAUCCUGCGAGGAGAAAAGGAGUUUUUGUUCACAGGUGGACUCACUGAAACACCAGCCUUCAGGGAAGCCCAUGGAGGUCUUUCCUUCGUGGUUCCCAUUUGCCUAGCAGGAGUUCCCUAAUGGGCCUACAUCACCUCAGGCCUAGGCCGGCUUGUGGCUUGCUUGCCAUCCAGUAGCAGGUCACGUGGGUUGUGGCAUCAUUAGUUACAAG
rnacentral:lncRNA from 10 species